CAGUAGCCGCGGUAAUACGAAGGGGGCUAGCGUUGUUCGGAAUUACUGGGCGUAAAGGGCGCGUAGGCGGCCAUUCAAGUUAGAUGUGAAAGCCCUGGGCUCAACCUAGGAAUUGCAUUUGAUACUGUUUGGCUUGAGUUCGGGAGAGGUGAGUGGAAUUCCCAGUGUAGAGGUGAAAUUCGUAGAUAUUGGGAAGAACACCAGUGGCGAAGGCGGCUCACUGGACCGACACUGACGCUGAGGCGCGAAAGCAUGGGGAGCAAACAGGAUUAGAUACCCCCGUAGUCCCUGUCUCUUAUAC
rnacentral:rRNA from 1 species